AUCAUAGAUUGCUACUACUAUAGUGUUCCUGCAAGUGCUCCUUAAACUUUUCCCUGCAACUUUUUCUAGGACAAAUAGAGUUAAAAACCACCAAGUAUGAAGUCGACCAGUUGUCUCCUCCGCUCAGUCGUAGCCGUGGCCUUGACCUUGUUGGUGGUCAUGGCGGGCAGUUCCUCCUCCAGCCUCGCCCCAAGGAACACACGACACUACGCUGGCAGUUUGCCCCCCGGCGUGGAGGUGACGUUCUUCCUGCAGGUGUGCCAGGUGUGUGGAGAGUUCUACGGCACAGAGUACUCCAGCAAUUGCGUCCACGACAAGACCUUCGUCACCUUCGCCAAGUGUUUCGUCGCCGUGCAGACCAAGAGAUGAGCCGCGCCGCUCUGUCCAGACAAGUGACCAGUGGACGGCUCCCGGGCGACCAGGCGUCGCUUACGUCACGUUUUAUACGUCAUUGUCACUUGAAAAAAUAAAAAAAAAACGUUCACCUAAACUGAGUUGAUGGGAUUUCUACGACAAAAGAGGUCUAAGAAAAUCAAAAUCAAACAAAAACAAAGGGGAAACGUUAAGAUAAUAUGAUGCCCUUCAAAAAUAAUUGUAAGUGAAGAUAGACAAUUUUAACAAAGUAAUAAUGUUAUUAUUGUAUCGAAGGAAAUGAUAACUUUGGACGUUAACGUUGACCCAUGGCAAGGGUCAAACUGGGGAUCUUUGAACUACAUGACUUAGUUUCUACUUUAAAUAAUAGAGAAAAAAGCAGCCCCCCCACCCUCCCCCACAAAACAACCCCACAACAAAACAACAAACAAACAAACAAACAAACAAACAAACCCAAAACAAAACAACUUUUGAACACCAUAAGGAGCAUGUUCAGUUGCAUUUUAAGGACACUAUGCGAAAAUAUGAAUCAACUGCACAAGAAUCAAGUAUUGUAAUGUCAUCUGAAUCUUUGAAAAUCGGUUUUCUGAUAAUUUAUAAUUAUUGUUUUUUUUCUCAGCAUUUGUGCCCAACAAUAACAGACUACAGUACUACUAUGACUAUUGGAAAUAAUAAUAUUGUUCUCAUGACAAACAUAAUAAACAUGAAUAAUCUGAAA